rnacentral:snoRNA from 1 species
AUGAAGAGUGGUAUUACCGCCUAGUAGCGGCGAUAGCGAUGACGAGGCCCCAGUGCUGA